rnacentral:lncRNA from 1 species
GCCGAGAAACAUCGGAGGCGUUUGUGAAGGCAGACAAAACGGUUUCGCGCGCGUGUAUUGGUUGGUUUGAACUAAAAUUUUGGUUCUGCUGCCAGAAAGUCUGACAAGGAAGACCAUCAAAGACCACUAAAGCGAAGAAUAUUUGGGGGUACAUGGUCAAAAGACUGCAUUAAUUUAUAUGUACAUAUUAUAUAGAUUUCUUUAAAAUUAUACACUUGAACGUACCAAAAACACACGUACACAUAUAUAUAUGCGUAUGUAUAUGUAUAUAUAGAUAUAGAAAUAUAUUUGGCGGGAGGAGUCUGGGCAAUCUCGAUAAACAAACAAUCUUUUCAGGAACAAGUGAUCAGAAUCAAAUCGAUGCCAUGUGUUUCUUUUUGCCAUGUUUCGGUCGAUUAACCCAAAAUCCUCAAGGACACAACGUUCCACAGUAUAUGGACCAAAAAAGAAAAGUAGCACAAAAUGUGGAGAAGACCAAGAAAUUCUGUCCACACCUUUGAAACAAUGACUUGAAUUUUCUGAAAAUAAUUAGCUAUUUAACUAUA